rfam:Loxodonta africana unplaced genomic scaffold scaffold_2, whole genome shotgun sequence.
AGUGGUUAAUAAUUUGGCUGCUAACCAAAAGAUUGGUAGUUCACAUCUACCAGCCACUC